UACGGAGGGUGCAAGCGUUAUCCGGAUUCACUGGGUUUAAAGGGUGCGUAGGAGGGUUGGUAAGUCAGCGGUGAAAUCUCCGAGCUUAACUUGGAAACUGCCGUUGAUACUAUCAAUCUUGAAUAUCGUGGAGGUGAGCGGAAUAUGUCAUGUAGCGGUGAAAUGCUUAGAUAUGACCCGGACCACCUAUUGCGAAGGCAGCAGGCUAAACAAAUAUUGACGCUGAGGCUCGAAAGCGUGGGGAUCAAACAGG
rnacentral:rRNA from 1 species